rnacentral:misc_RNA from 1 species
AGUUCAAGGGAAGUAAAUCUAUGGCUCUGUCAGUUUACAUCUUUGGAGAUCACUUAAAUGAGUUUGUGUGGUGUCAUAGGGUUUGUAGGUGUGGGUGUUUAGGUGUUUGUUGUGCGGCGUUGUGUAGGGGGAGCGAAGAUUUGGAGGUCGGGAUAGACGUUGCAGCGUAAAGGUGUGUGUUACUCCAUAUCACUGCCAGCGGCAAAAGCGUGCCAGAAAUGUCGAGCAGAAGAGCGAGAAAACGGAGCCCUAGUUCAGUAUCGAGUGAAGGCAGCAAACGCAGUAGAAGCUAUUACGACGAUGCCGAUUUUGAGGAAGAAGAAGAAGGCUAUCGGUUACACAUAGCGGAUGUUGGGCUCAGUGUAUCAAAGAGAGACUUGGAACGUCUCUUUGAAAAAUAUGGGCGUCUCAAGGAAGUCUGGUUGGCCAAAGCUCCACCUUGCUUUGGUUUUGUAGUUUACCAUGAGAAAGAUGAUGCCGAAGAUGCUGUCAAAGCUACAAAUGGAAUAACACUUCAUGGCAGUCGUAUUAGAGUCACCUUCGCUCGGCCAAGGACUCGUGGGAAAGGUCGCAGGGGAUUUGAUCCCAAUAUGCGCUGCUAUCAGUGUGGAGAUAAGGGACAUUUCUCCAGGGAUUGCCCCGACACUCCAUAUGGAUAUAAACGACCACCAUCCAGGCUGUGUGUGUUGGUUAUGGUAAAGAGAUGAUUACUUAUCUUGACUUCUGAUUGGAGUGAAGCUUCACGGCUGCUAGAUGAAGACUGGAAUCUGGUUUUGAUUGCUUUUGAUUCACUCCCUGAUGCAAAGUUGAUGCUGUGGUAAUGUUUCUUGGUACACUGUUAAAAUAAUGGUCACCACAGCCUAGGAGGAGACCACCACCGUAUCGAUCAUCGGGUGGUACACGAUACAGUAGGAGGAGGCGGUAUUGAUUGCUGUUGCUGUUAAGAACCAAGGGACAUUAUUCUCUUGUUACCAAAGUAAAUAAUUUAGUUAUUAUAUACAAUAACAUUAAUAAAAUAAAAUUUCAUCUUCACUGUAAUGAGAUACUGUGAAUUACUUGGGUAUUUAGGCACUGUAAGCAUUAAUGCAUUGUCAGUGCUUGGUUACUUAAGUAUUUCAUGGCGUAACUGAAGAAAUCGGAUACAUUGUGUAUUGGAUGUGAACGAUGCAUAUUUGAGUACAUAUACAAAUUGGUACAAAAAAUACAUUAGUUUGAAUUGUUCAUGUUUCUGAUGUCUGACUUAUGUGAUAAUAAAACUGAUGAAUUUACUUUUAA